rnacentral:rRNA from 1 species
GUGGGGAAUAUUGGGCAAUGGGCGGAAGCCUGACCCAGCGACGCCGCGUGGGGGAAGAAGUCUUUCGGGAUGUAAACCCUUGUUGUACGGGACGAAGGAAGUGACGGUACCGUACGAGGAAGCCCCGGCAAACUACGUGCCAGCAGCCGCGGUAAUACGUAGGGGGCGAGCGUUGUCCGGAAUCACUGGGCGUAAAGCGCACGUAGGCGGGCUGUCAAGUCGGCCGUGAAAGGCACGGGCUCAACCUGUGCAUGUCGGUCGAUACUGGCGGUCUGGAGUAUGGGAGAGGGAACUGGAAUUCCCGGUGUAGCGGUGAAAUGCAUAGAUAUCGGGAGGAACACCAGUGGCGAAGGCGGGUUCCUGGCCCAUGACUGACGCUGAGGUGCGAAAGCCGGGGGAGCAAACAGGAUUAGAAACCCGAGUAGUCC